UACGUAGGGGGCAAGCGUUGUCCGGAAUUACUGGGCGUAAAGGGCUCGUAGGCGGCCAACUAAGUCGGAUGUGAAAUCCCCAGGCUCAACUUGGGAACUGCAUCCGAUACUGGAUGGCUUGAAUCCGGGAGAGGGAUGCAGAAUUCCAGGUGUAGCGGUGAAAUGCGCAGAUAUCGGGAGGAACACCGGUGGCGAAGGCGGUUCUCUGGGCCUUACCUGACGCUGAGGAGCGAAAGCGUGGGGAGCGAACAGG
rnacentral:rRNA from 1 species